AUUUGUCAUUGUAAUUGAUUGAAUUUUAUUGAUCUUUCAUGAAGAUAAUCAAGAAAAUAUUGAAUAUGUGACAUUCCCUGCAAUUAGUUGGACUAAGUAAAUGAUCUGAUUGAUUAAUUGGUGAUAACGAAUUCGCUGAUAAUUUAAUCAUUUGAUUGUCAGAAUAUUUUGGAAACAAUUGUAGGUGUUAAUUGUGAAAAGGAAAUUAUUGAUUAGGUUAAUGUUAUUUGCGUGAUUGUGAUUAAGUUAAGACAAGGAAAAUACUGUCAAUUAAAUUGAAUAUAAUCAGAUAUUAAUAGUUACACUUAUUGCAGAUUAAACUGACCACUGGUCAUUAAAACUUAUGCGCCAUUUAAGGUUGAUCAUAAUUUCUUGAUUCAAUCUAAUUGCUUGGACCAUUUAGUAAGUUUUAAUUUGUAUGUAAAUCUGAUUGUUAAUUUUCACUUUUCCUUUUAAUUUCGUUCGUUUAAAUUUGAUUGUUCAAUCGAUUAGAUUGUUUGUUUUUGUGGUUUGAAAUAAACAGAAACCUUGAUUGUUUUAAUCAUGAGAAAUGAAACAAUAUGUUUAGUCGUCUUAAUGGUUAAUCAACUAUUUCUAAUUGUGAUGGUUGAAUCAAGAGGAAUAUUCCCCCAAUCUAAUUGUGUUUUCAAUUCUAAUGGUAAAUUAUGUGAAUCAAUCACAGAUGAGCUCAGUAAAGUAGAAAAUGAGAUAAUCAAUGAAGAAAAUAAUAUUUAUCAUGAUGAUGACCAAGAUGAUUCGUUAAUCAAUGAAUUUGAUGAUAAAAUUGAUUAUCAAUCAGUUCCAACGAUUGAAUCAACUCGAAAUUGAGAAAGAUGAAAAAUCUAAAUCAAGUGAAACCAAAUUGGAUCCAUUGAUACCAUUGUUGACCCAAAUUGCUGCUAAACGAAAACAAAUCAACAAAAAUCGUAAAGAUGAUCAAAAACAAACCCCCAAUUUAAAUUUCCAAACCCAAGGAUGGCGUUAAUUACACAAUCAACAAUUACAAUGGUCAAUUAAGACAUAACCCACUGUAACAAUUGAUUAUCAUCAGAUGAUCAAACAAAAAUUGACUAACAAUUAGUAUUAAUAUAAUGAUACUGACCAAAUAAACAAAAUUGUCUCCCUCAAACCUUUCAAUUUGAUUUAAACAAUUGUGAACCUUUAAAAUGGGAAGAAAAAUAUAAUUAAACUUCCAACAAUUAAUUUCCAUUGAUCAUCAACCCAAUCAAAAUUUUGCUAAAUUAAAGAAAAAUUCUGUAUUGUUUGUACUUGGAA